CAGUCGCCGCGGUAAUACGUAGGGUGCGAGCGUUAAUCGGAAUUACUGGGCGUAAAGCGUGCGCAGGCGGUUGUGUAAGACAGGUGUGAAAUCCCCGGGCUUAACCUGGGAACUGCGCUUGUGACUGCACAGCUAGAGUAUGGCAGAGGGGGGUGGAAUUCCACGUGUAGCAGUGAAAUGCGUAGAGAUGUGGAGGAACACCGAUAGCAAAGGCAGCCCCCUGGGCCAAUACUGACGCUCAUGCACGAAAGCGUGGGGAGCAAACAGGAUUAGAUACCCGCGUAGUCCCUGUCUCUUAUAC
rnacentral:rRNA from 1 species